UACGUAGGGUGCGAGCGUUGUCCGGAAUUAUUGGGCGUAAAGAGCUUGUAGGCGGUCUGUCGCGUCUGCUGUGAAAAUCCGGGGCUCAACCCCGGACUUGCAGUGGGUACGGGCAGACUAGAGUGUGGUAGGGGAGACUGGAAUUCCUGGUGUAGCGGUGAAAUGCGCAGAUAUCAGGAGGAACACCAGCGGCGAAGGCGGCGCUCUGGGCCGGAACUGACGCUGAGGAGCGAAAGCGUGGGUAGCAAACAGG
rnacentral:rRNA from 1 species